UAUCAUAAAGUGGGCAUGUCUGUAAAGGGGAGACUCGUGGAACCCAUUUUCAUUCACAUAUCUUGAGGUCAGGGGUCAAGGGACCCCUCUGAAAAACGCCAUGCCAGUUUUUCCUCGCCGAAAUGUAGCGCAGGUUUAGAGCAUUAUUUCCCAACAUGCUAACAUGACAUGGUUGGAUUCCUUAGGUUUUAAUUUCAUAUAAUAGCAGUACCGUCACUCUAGCUCGAAAACUGAGCCUGCUACAGCCUCUGAAAAAAGUAGUCAGCCGAGGGCGCCCUCAGACGGAUAUUGCUGUUUGUUGCGUGUAGAGGGGUGUGUGUGCAGUAGUGCGGCAGCAGCACUUUCCCGGCAACUGACAUGGGGAAGGACAUGUCAGCCUGCUGCGCCGCAAAGCUUAGAAUAUUUCUCACUGAAGCCUUGAAGCCCCAAAAAAUGGUAUUCAGGACAGCCCUAUAAAUUAUCUUAAGAAACAGCAAGGUUUGAUUACCCAUUGGGCAAAAGCAGGCAACUGCCCAGGGCCCCCUUCAGGGGCCCCAAAGGGAAUCCAGUCGGUUCACUGUAUGCAGUAGCUAAUAUUGCAAUUUAGUGUAGGAAUGUGCACCCCUAUAUCAUAAACUGCAUUUUUACCAAAUCCUAGGGCCCUGCCUUGUCGAGAGUUCAUGUGUCAAAAUCUAAUUGUAAUAUUUUUUAUUUUUCUUGAUGUUUUGCUUAUACAGUUCAUAUUCCUUAAUAAAGUUGUGCUUAAUCAAAUUACUACAAACAAACUGAAGUGGUAAACCCUGAGUUGGAUAGUAUUCCAGCAGCAGGAGUACUGGUUGGUUUCUGUGGCUCUGGGCAAAAUAUAAUGAAGAGAAUGUUGGUGUAAAGUCAGAUAAUUAUAAUAAUUUUAACUACAUAAUUCCAAAAUGUGCAUAUGCAGUACAAAACAUGACCAGCCAAUAAGGUUAUAAUCUUUUAAUAAAAACUUUGGUAUCAAUAACAUUCUGUCCAAUAAAAAUAAGGUGUGUGACCCUUAGUGAUGUCAUGAGUCACACCAGGGGCUCACCAUCUGUUUCUCCAGACUUUUGGGAUAUAAUGCAGGUUCCAUCACAUUACCAUGAAGACAUUCAUGCCAUUUCAAUGUAGAAAAACUAUUUCAUUGUGCACUUAGAUGAAGAUUAAAUCAUGUCUAAAAACUUCAUUCAA